GAUGUGAAACGGCCGCGGCGGCGUGGUGAGCGGCCCGGGCGCCGCUGUCCUCUCCUUCCCCUCCCCUCCCCUUCACCCCCUCUGGGGGGCUUCUCCUUGGGCCCGCCGCCGCACCCCGGCUCCUCGGCGGGACUCCAGGAGUUCUCGGCGCCCCCUCCCCGCCCCAGCCCCCCAGGGCGGCGGGGCCGGGGGGGACUCGGGGGGCCGGCUGCAGCCUCCGCCCAGAGGAAACUUUACCCAAACAAAAUCUUCGAGCUUUCUGAUUGUGACUGUCCCGGGACAAGUGGCCCAGGACGGGCUGAAGCCACAGCCUGCAGAGACCCAGGAAGAGAAAAAGCGGUGAGCGGGGCUGCUGCCGCUGCCGCCGCCGCCGCCUCAGCUUCUAUCCCGGCAGCGCGGAAGAGACCCGGGUAGCUGCUCCGUGGAGCGACGCUAGCACCGCUUCUUAGUUCCGCGCCUAGCCUUCCGCAGCUGCCCGCCUCAGCCCGAAGGAGGAAGGGAGCCAGCCACAUUGUCAGCGCCACCGCUCGUCUCUGAAGCGGGACCAGAGUGGAGUUUCCAGGACCCAUAUCAGAGCGCUCACGACAGCCUGUAACUCCAUUCCCAGAAGACCCAACGCUAUUUUGGCUUCCAAGGAUAACCCCUGUCCACAAUGUGCGUGCAUAGAUAAGUAAAAAACCCACCAAUUUUUGAGUACUAUUUAAAUGUGAUAUACUAAAACUUUUUUUGUUAAAUAGAACUGUUUAAAGUUUUUUUUUUUAAUUUAGAAGAAAUUUUAAUUAAAAAAGUACAUAAGUUUGUGGAGUUCCAUGAGAUGUUAUGAUACAUAUAUGCACUGUGUGAAGUUUAUGGUAAGGUUAACACAUCUCUACCUCUUUAAACAGUUACCAUUUCUUUGUAGUGAAAAAUGCUAAAAAUCCAGCUCUUUUUGAAAAAUAGGUUAUAAUGUUAUGUGUAGUAGUUAGGCUACUAUGUAGAGCACCAGAACUUCCAACUCUGACCUAGAGCCUGGGAAGGUGCUGGGUUGUUAAGUAUCAGUGUUUGCUGGUUACGGCAAUGCAGGAAGAGUCUCAUGAACCGUGUGCAGCCACUGAGAUAACUGUACCUUUCUGCUUUACUGGUCACUCCAUGCUUCCGUCCUUAGUCUGUGUGACCUCUCAGUGUUCUCAGACAGCGUAAAAUUGAGCUUACCUCUUAAGAAACCCAUAAUCUACUCCUGUGGGCUCUUUAGAUAACGCAUGAUCUGUUUGUUGUCUUGUCUUUGGUCACUGUAGACUCUUAACUUCAAAGUAGAUAAGCCCUUCCCCCUCCCUCUCUCCCUCCCCGCCCCUGCCUUCCCCUCCCCUCCCUUCCUUCCUGUAGGAUAGAUCUCUUUGGUGUAAGACUUCAGUAGUUAAUCUCUCAGGAUGACAAAUCUCUUAUUACGAAGAUAAUAAAGAUACCUCUCCAAUUAAUAUUUCUCUUAAUAAUUGAGAGACAGCCUUAAAGCUGUUUAAAGCUGUUUCAUGCUUGAAGGGGGAAUGGAAUCUGAAUUUUAAAAAUCGAUUUUCCUGUGCACUUUGGUCUCUAAGUGUUGGCAUCUGUAUUAUGUGUCUGUCUUCUCACAGAACCCUCAUAACUCCUGGCUGAUUGAGCUUUCUCUACAGGCCAAAUUCUUAAAUUCUUGUAAUGUUACAAGAUGGUGAGCCCUUCUUUAAUGAAUGCUGGUCUUAGGAGAAACGAAAUCUCUGCUAUCAACGAGACUUUUAAAAGGCUCUCUAAAUAUUUGGUACGAGAAUUUCUUCUCUUUAUAUCUUUUGUGAUCCCUCUACACAUUGUGUCUAGGCAAUCAGGUUAGUAAGCAGGAAUGGUAAUUUAUGAAUUAAAUAAGACUUUUUCUACUUGAGAUUUUAUAGUAAUUGUCUAUUAAUUGCCAAAACAUUCAGAUGGUGAUGUGUUAAGUCUUGUUUACCACAGUGCGUGAGCAUAAGCACCAUUACUGUGAGUUGGUGUCUAUGCUGUUUCCAAUCUGGAUUACCAUAACUUCUCUCUUCUAAGAUUAAAAUGAAAACUUCUC
rnacentral:sRNA from 1 species